rnacentral:rRNA from 1 species
CACGUAGGGUGCGAGCGUUGUCCGGAAUUAUUGGGCGUAAAGAGCUCGUAGGCGGCUUGUCGCGUCGACUGUGAAAACUCGGGGCUCAACUCCGAGCUUGCAGUCGAUACGGGCAGGCUAGAGUUCGGUAGGGGAGACUGGAAUUCCUGGUGUAGCGGUGAAAUGCGCAGAUAUCAGGAGGAACACCGAUGGCGAAGGCAGGUCUCUGGGCCGAUACUGACGCUGAGGAGCGAAAGCGUGGGGAGCGAACAGG